CAGUCGCCGCGGUAAUACGAAGGGUGCAAGCGUUAAUCGGAAUUACUGGGCGUAAAGCGUGCGCAGGCGGUUUGUUAAGACAGAUGUGAAAUCCCCGGGCUCAACCUGGGAACUGCAUUUGUGACUGGCAAGCUAGAGUGUGGCAGAGGGGGGUGGAAUUCCGCGUGUAGCAGUGAAAUGCGUAGAUAUGCGGAGGAACACCGAUGGCGAAGGCAGCCCCCUGGGCCAACACUGACGCUCAUGCACGAAAGCGUGGGGAGCAAACAGGAUUAGAUACCCCGGUAGUCCCUGUCUCUUAUAA
rnacentral:rRNA from 1 species